GACGUUCCUUUUAGAAGAGCAGAAUCCAAAUAUAGUGUUGAACAAGUAGGCGUAACGGUGGAGUUCUAUGGUGUCGAACUUAAUGGAGUAAGUUAUUCUGAUCCUGCUACUGUAAAAAAAUAUGCGAGGCAUUCUCAAUUAGGGAAAUUUUUUGAAUUAGACCGGGCUACUUUGAAAUCUAAUGGUGAGUGA
rnacentral:rRNA from 1 species